UCCUGCCAGUAGUCAUAUGCUUGUCUCAAAGAUUAAGCCAUGCAUGUCUAAGUUUAAGCAAUAAACGGUGAAACUGCGAAUGGCUCAUUAAAUCAGUUAUCGUUUAUUUGAUAGUUCCUUUACUACAUGGUAUAACUGUGGUAAUUCUAGAGCUAAUACAUGCUGAAAAAUCCCGACUUCUGGAAGGGAUGUAUUUAUUAGAUCCAAAACCAAUGGCCUUCGGGUCCCUAUGGUGAAUCAUGAUAACUGCUCGAAUCGCAUGGCCUUGCGCCGGCGAUGCUUCAUUCAAAUAUCUGCCCUAUCAACUUUCGAUGGUAGGAUAGUGGCCUACCAUGGUUUCAACGGGUAACGGGGAAUAAGGGUUCGAUUCCGGAGAGAGGGCCUGAGAAACGGCCCUCAGGUCUAAGGACACGCAGCAGGCGCGCAAAUUAUCCCCUGGCAACACUUUGCCGAGAUAGUGACAAUAAAUAACAAUGCAGGGCUCUUACGGGUCUUGCAAUUGGAAUGAGUACAAUUUAAAUCCCUUAACGAGGAACAAUUGGAGGGCAAGUCUGGUGCCAGCAGCCGCGGUAAUUCCAGCUCCAAUAGCGUAUAUUAAAGUUGUUGCCGUUAAAAAGCUCGUAGUCGAACUUCGGCGCCUGCCGGCCGGUCCGCCUUCUUGGUGUGUACUUGCUUCGGCGGGCGCUUACCUCCUGGUGAACUCUGAUGUCCUUUACUGGGUGUCAGAGCGAACCAGGACGUUUACUUUGAAAAAAUUAGAGUGUUCAAAGCAGGCCUACGCCCGAAUACAUUAGCAUGGAAUAAUAGAAUAGGACGCGCGUUCCCAUUUUGUUGGUUUCUGAGAUCGCCGUAAUGAUUAAUAGGGAUAGUUGGGGGCAUUUGUAUUCCGUCGUCAGAGGUGAAAUUCUUGGAUUGCCGGAAGACAAACUACUGCGAAAGCAUUUGCCAAGGAUGUUUUCAUUGAUCAAGAACGAAGGAAGGGGGAUCGAAAACGAUCAGAUACCGUUGUAGUCUCUUCUGUAAACUAUGCCAAUUGGGGAUCGGCACAGGAUUUUCAAUGACUGUGUCGGCACCCGAAGAGAAAUCUUUA
rnacentral:rRNA from 1 species